CUUUAAAGCUCUUUAUUUCCUCUGCAGAGUGACUGACCACAUGAGAGACAGUGACUCCUCAAUGGCAUAGAAAUUAGAGAGGGGAGUGGGGAGCAGGCCUCCAGGUCACCUGUAGUGAACCUGUAACCGAAUUCUACCCAAACUUGUUCAGCUUUCUACAGUUUUUUUCACUUCUUCCCUCAAAACCAACAAGUCUGGCUCCCUCUUCUUGGGUGAGGCCUGCUUUGAAGAUGGGGAGGAAGGAUGUCAGGAUGCCAAAGGAAGCAUCAGAGGAUAUCUAAUACUGGAAAAAUUGUCUUAUCAAGAAACUUCCAAAAGAGCCUCUAAAGCCUAUGGGAAGUUGAGCCAGGACAACCAAAUACAGCAAGAAGAAUUCUUUCUCCUUAGCACUUGCUAAAAAUGAAAUGCAACCAUGGGAAAAUUUCUUGACCUCUGUAACC